CACUGAGGACCCUUUGUCUCCCCACCUUUCAGGUUUCUUCUCCUGGUGUCCCUGCACCAGAAGGGUCCUGUCUUCCUGGGAGGAGGCAGCUCUGGAGACUUUGAAAGAACAGUACUCUGGAGCCCAUGUGAGCUAUGUGCAGAAGAUUGCAUGUCUCCUGAAAGGAACUGCUCUUUCAAGAGGGUAACUUGUAAAGAAGAUCCAAAGGCUAUUUCAUUUACUGUCCCAUAACAGCUUUAUAAUCAGAAGACCCACUAGAAACAUAUGUGAGAAUCAUCAGAAAGAUCUCCGAGGUCUAUUCAGAGAGAAGAAUGAAUCACACAAGUUCUCUUCCAAGUUUUCAACUCUUCUGUCAAGCAUCAGCAUCCCUCCUUGGCUUCUCUUGUUAAGAGAGACAGGCAGACCCAGCGUGCUUGGCUCUGUUCUGCUCCUCUGGCUCAUCUUUCCUGGUAUUUUCUUGAACCAUGAACUGAACUGCAAAUAAUAGGCUUGCUUAUAUAAAAGGCUGCCUCUUUACAUGAGUAGAUGCCGUGCAUUCGGGCUCUUUGAAACUGGCUCUGUGGCAUUUCGUAUACUUUGUUCUCUGGUCAGAAGUUCAGGAUGUUCCACUUCUAAAUCUGGUUUCCGGCUAAAAUAUAAAUGCGUCGCAUUGACUGAUCAUCCUUGGAAGUUUAUCUGCUUUUAGAGUUAAAGAUGUGAAUGAUUAAUGCUUCUGCUGUGCUUGGCUAUGAAUCAUUAUAUGAUGCCCUGAUUUUUCUUUCUAAAUCUCUGUAGCUCUAGCAAAUAAGGUGUUUAAGGGAGAGAGGG